rnacentral:rRNA from 1 species
AGCAGCCGCGGUAAUUCCAGCUCCAAUAGCGUAUAUUAAAGUUGUUGCAGUUAAAAAGCUCGUAGUUGAAUUUCGGGAUCAGCAGGUCGGUCGUGCCACUGGUAUGCACUGGCCUUGCUGAUUCCUCCCUCUUGAUGAGCCGUAAUGCCAUUAAUUUGGUGUUGCGGGGAAUCAGGACUGUUACUUUGAAAAAAUUUAGAGUGUUUAAAGCAGGCAUGCGCUUGAAUACAUUAGCAUGGAAUAAUGAAAUAGGACGUUCGAUCCUAUUUUGUUGGUUUCUAGGAUUGACGUAAUGAUUAAUAGGGAUAGUUGGGGGCAUUAGUAUUCAAUUGUCAGAGGUGAAAUUCUUGGAUUUAUUGAAGACUAACUACUGCGAAAGCAUUUGCCAAGGAUGUUUUCAUUAAUCAAGAACGAAAGUUAGGGGAUCGAAGACGAUCAGAUACCGUCGUAGUCUUAACCAUAAACUAUGCCGACUAGGGAUCGGAUGAUGUUAAUUUUUUCAAUGACUCAUUCGGCGCCU